rfam:Triticum aestivum genome assembly, contig: Triticum_aestivum_CS42_TGACv1_scaffold_220877_3B
UUUAUACCCCCUCCAUCCCAAAAUUCUUGUCUUAGAUUAGUCUAGAUACAGAUGUAUCUAAUACCAGAACAUGACUUGAUACAUCUGUAUUUAGACAAAUCUAAGACAAGAAUUUUAGGACAGAGGGAGUAUUUC